AUUGAACGCUGGCGGCAGGCCUAACACAUGCAAGUCGAGCGGAUGAAGGGAGCUUGCUCCUGGAUUCAGCGGCGGACGGGUGAGUAAUGCCUAGGAAUCUGCCUGGUAGUGGGGAUAACGUCCGGAAACGGGCGCUAAUACCGCAUACGUCCUGAGGGAGAAAGUGGGGGAUCUUCGGACCUCACGCUAUCAGAUGAGCCUAGGUCGGAUUAGCUAGUUGGUGGGGUAAAGGCCUACCAAGGCGACGAUCCGUAAAUGGUCUGAGAGGAUGAUCAGUCACACUGGAACUGAGACACGGUCCAGACUCCUACGGGAGGCAGCAGUGGGGAAUAUUGGACAAUGGGCGAAAGCCUGAUCCAGCCAUGCCGCGUGUGUGAAGAAGGUCUUCGGAUUGUAAAGCACUUUAAGUUGGGAGGAAGGGCAGUAAGUUAAUACCUUGCUGUUUUGACGUUACCAACAGAAUAAGCACCGGCUAACUUCGUG
rnacentral:rRNA from 1 species